rnacentral:rRNA from 1 species
AGCGAACGCUGGCGGCAGGCCUAACACAUGCAAGUCGAACGAACCCUUCGGAGUUAGUGGCGGACGGGUGAGUAACACGUGGGAACGUGCCUUUUGGUUCGGCAUAACUCAGGGAAACUUGUGCUAAUACCGAAUGUGCCCUUCGGGGGAAAGAUUUAUCGCCAUUAGAGCGGCCCGCGUCUGAUUAGCUAGUUGUUGAGGUAACGGCUCACCAAGGCGACGAUCAGUAGCUGGUCUGAGAGGCUGACCAGCCACACUGGGACUGAGACACGGCCCAGACUCCUACGGGAGGCAGCAGUGGGGAAUCUUGCGCAAUGGGCGAAAGCCUGACGCAGCCAUGCCGCGUGAAUGAUGAAGGUCUUAGGAUUGUAAAAUUCUUUCACCGGGGACGAUAAUGACGGUACCCGGAGAAGAAGCCCCGGCUAACUUCGUG